GGGGAACAGAAGCAGAAGGAGGGUGGGCCAUGCUGAUUUUCCCAACACUUCAACAUCUAGAAAAAUAUACUAAAAAUCAACUGCUAACAUCUUCUGUUUCACUUGGCUUGACCCUUGUUCAAUUUCUCUCAUCAUUUUAGGAGUCAGAUGGUGGAUGCCCUUCUACCCGUUCCCCUGUGGUCCUCUGGCCCUGGCCAGAUAUUUAGGAAUCUCUUUCUUGGGGUUAGCAUGUCCUCCCUCAUUCUUCAUCUGUUUCUUAUAUCACAAUGUCAGGAAGUUCUUUUUCAAGACUCUCCUAAGGACUAGGGUUCUUUUUGAGUCUCCUAAGAUGAUAGGGUGUUGGGAAACUUUCCAAAUUCUUUGCUACCUCUUGGUAAGAGAACUGUUUGGUUGUUUCAUUCAUUCAUCUAUCCAUUCAUUCAUUCAUUCAUUCACCUACCCUUGAACAUUGACCAAAGACCAGGCUCUGUGCUGGGCAGUGGGUGUCCAGGCCUUGGUGAAACCCUUAAUCUGCCCUGCCCCAUCGAGUCACCAGGGAAGGAGGUCUAACCCUGAAAUCUUUCCUCUCUGGGUGGUAAGGGAGGGGUUCCCACACCUCACGUUCACUCUUGCUCCUAAACCCACUGGCUCUCUAAUUGAAUAGUUUGCACGCAGAGUCAAUUUUGUUAAUAUCUUCAGUGCCUGCCUGGCUUUUCUGGCAGAGGAUAAUAUCCCUUUGUGUGCUAAUCGGCUUUCUGGGAUCAUCCACAUUCUCCGGCUUCUCAAAUGAAACUCAACCUGGACUCUCUUUGGCAAAUAGAUUCCUGGCAUUUGCAUAAAUGAUUAAAUCUGGCCUUUAAAAUUGGGCCAGGGUGCUUCCCGGCUUGCUCAGUGUCCCCUCCUCAUGGGGCAUGGCGCUGUGGCGUGGGCAGGGCCUUUGUCCCCAAGCCUGUGGGCAGCAGGCACAGUGGCGUUAGAGGUCAGUCAGGUGGAAAGCUCUGGCUUUAGAGCCCAGUCUCUGCCCGUCAUCGUCACCUGUCAAGCCUCGGGCAAGUUCCUGAGCUCUUUGUGUCUCAUUAUCUCAUCCACACAGUGGGGCUGAUAGUUCUGAACUAUUGUAAGAAUUAAAUGAGAUAAUGCAGGUAAAACACUGAAAACAGUGUUUGAGCCAGAGUAAGUACUUGGUAAAUGAAAACAACAAUCAUUAUUGUUUUCAAGGUGGAGGAGGCAGCAGGGGCCUGGAAACGACCUGGCGCUCUGAGAUUUGUUGGCAGGCUUGGUGAAGAUGGCUACUUCGUGCUGCAGUGAAGAGAAGGAAAGAAGGAGAAACUGCAUUUAUUAAGACAGACAGGAUGCUGGAUGCGUUAUAUGCUUUCUCACUUAACUUUCAAACACCUCCAUGAGUUGGCUGGAAGACUCCUUUUCUGGGCGGGGUCCAAACCUUGUGAUCUUUGAAGUGGAUUUCGUAGCUCAGCUUCCCUCCACAGAAGACCUCCCAGCUCACCCGGCACUGAUGAGACUGGCCCCCGCUUUCGGGAAACAUCAGCCUAUUGGAUUUCUUCUGGUUUGAGCCACGCUAAUGGAGAACAGACAGCCUGGGCUUGAUUUAUCCCCUCCCUGGAAUGCUGCCUAUCUGCAGAAAGAGCUUCUUCAGAACUUGAAAUGCCAGCCUCACAACUCCAGGGACAGUGAUUUUAUCUCUUCUUUAGGGAGUGGCCCAUGCCUGAAUGACUGCUCAGAAACCUACUGCUGUAGAAUCUGAAAGUUGCAGGAUUAGAAGGGAACCUGAAGAACGUCUAACCUGAUAUCCACUGGGGGAAGAUGUGUCAGAGAGAAGACAGCCCUAGAUACAUCCUCAAACUAUCCCCAGCUAUGUUUCUAGGAGAUUCAAUCACUGUUGCUGGUCACCCACUUGCCUCGCCAAAGUCCACAAAGUACAGAUCAUCCUCACUGGCAGAGAGGUGACACCAUCUCAGCUCCUCCUAUGGCAGAGUUUCAGGACCAACCGAGCCUCUCAAUGGCUUGUCCACGUUCCUGUUCAGGCAUUGCUGAGGAGGCUGAGUCACUUGGGCAAUGAUUCAGCCACACCCACCAUGAACUCUCAAUGACUCGAGGAGAAGAAUGGCAUGGAUAAUCUAGAAAGAAUGGACAGUGGAAAAGAACUCCAGCGCUCUCAUGGAGUGCAUGGAUCAUGAUUUGCUGCACUGGGGGAGCCGCUGGUUUGAUUCAUUCAUUAUAGUCUCGUCUCUGGCUGAUACUAAAUCUACUUGUUCCUGAGAGCACCUGCGGCCAUCAUGACAGGCUCAGUAUCACAGGGCCUAGUGAAAGAAAGUCCCUCUGGCCAAGGGCAACAGAAUAAAAACGUAACUGAGUCCCAGAUAUGCUAGUGUUUUCCACCAUUGCAUCUCUAAGAUAUCAACAGGACCUGGAAAGAUGAGAGUGAGUUCACUGUCCCCCCAUGGGCUGAGGUUGCUGGAAUGCUGGAACAGAGAGAAACUGGGAGGUUUUAGCAUGCUCUGGCUUCAGAAUGAAGGGAGCAGAGUGACGAAUGCUGCAAGCUGCAUGGAGCGGCCAAUUGAAAAAGCUAUCAAAGUCAGAACAGCACUGGAAGCGUUGACCCUGAAGAUGCAUGCCUGGAGAGAGGAUUUUUUUCUCUUUUUUUGCACUUUUUAUUGCAGUAAUGCAGGGACAUUCUGUGAGUAGAAUCCAGGGGGCCAUCAAGCCUGCGUUCAGGUAGCUGUGCGGGAAGGGGUUUUGAUCCUGUUCUGAGAAAGCUGUCUUGGGGCCCAGGCAGAGAGCACAUUACUGUGUUAGAGCCUUGAGUAGUUAAGAGAAAGUUCUUGGUUGAAUUGGGAAAGGGACCUGUAAAUAGCUGUAAAAUCCUGAACUAGCCGUGCCUCCUUUUGUGCUAGAUGCAGUCCUGGAGGCAGAGGCGCAGGUGACUCGAGGUCAAACCACUUCUGCUGCUAACUUGGGCAAGUCACACCACCUGUCUGCACCUGUCGGUGAGAGGCUUGGGCUAAAUGGUAUGUCAGCCUCUCCUAGUCUCAGUUGUCUCCCAUUUGUGGAUGCCAUUUCAGGGAUAGAGAAAUCGGAGACUAUUGAUAAAGACUGCAAAAGUGCAGAUUUGCUCAUAACAUGGAAACUCUCAGAGAGCUGGUCCCUAUCAGGGAAGGAUGGAGUGGUCUGCCCUGGGCGCUAGGAAUAAGGAAGAGCAUUGUUGAUGGAGAAUUUUAAAACAAUAAUGAAACCAAGGAAAAGUCAGUCUGCUUUUUAGGAUCACCACGCGUGGACAAUUCUAAGCAAUGUCAGGAAUAAAAUACUCCUCCUCACCUGGGUGGACCACUCCCACCAUCCCCCUCCUUGGUUUGCCACUGUUUACCUGAACAAUUCUCUUUUUAUUCAGUGCUCUUUCAAUUCCUCUGACUACAAAGGGAGAGAAAUUCGCUAUGGUGUUAACUCUUUCAUUACCACCCCUUAGUGUUGAUUUGUCUCCAGUAAAGAAGAGUGAUGAGUUACUUUGAGACACAGCAGUGGACCGGAGUGCAACCAAGGAAGCAGGAACAAUAAAAAUGGAGAGAAAAGAACAUGGAGUGAGGUGUGGAAUGUGUUGAGUAGUGGCUUAGAAAGUGAAGCCCUGAACACAUGGUCUAUGGCCAGGAUGGGGACAGCUCCCCGAAGGCUCAGGUCAGGCUGGACAUGUGGUGCCUAAGAACAGACUGCAGCUGCAUCUCCCUUCUGCUUUCUCAGAUCCCUGGCACUCUGGAGCUUUCCUUUGCGGCACUGUAGAUGCAUUUCUUAGAAGUGAUCUGCUCUGCACUCCUCAUGUCACACCACCCACCAUCCUCCUUUGGGUUGGAUUUCCUUCUCACUGUGUCCCAGUGUCUAGAAUAUGAAGGGACUUUGCCACCCCUCAGGGGACUUGCAUAUCCUGCAUUGAUGCCUCUCUUCUGUAGGCUUGGUCCCCUUGGUGCCCAACCUUCUGCUUGAUGGUGUUGCUUCGGGGUGUGUUCACAUUCUCCAAGGAGCCAUUCCCGAAAGCAGUAAAAAUAACCUGUGCGCGUUCUACAGGGGCUGAGUGGGCUGCUCUGGAGAGGACCAUGGGGUCUGUUGGAAAAACAUGAGUGUGGUCUGGGGAGGAGGCUGGGGAAGGAAUGCAGAAUCUAAAGAUGGAGAUCCUUGCCAAAUUAAAUAAAAAGGGUUUUUGUUUUUCCAAGCGAGAGCCCAGUUAGAAGCAAUUAAAUUGACAAUCAACUCAACCCAACCCAAACCAUGAGGACCGAGUUCUAGUUUCUUACAGAUUUAUAAUUUGCUAAAUUUUGUCUUUUAAACACCCACCAGACACAUAUUCCCUCUUGCACAUUUAGUUCCUAAUUGUUAUCCUAAGAUGAUUUAUUUGUUCUGGCAGGAAGAUAAAAGGAAGAGAUAGCUCCAGUGGAGUUUAUUUCUUUAACCCUUUCUUUUCUGAUUAUAAAAGCCACGCGUGCUUAUUGUAGAAAGUUUAGGAAAUGAAUAUUCCAGAUAGAAAGAAUUACUUCCUGCAAAUCACAUCACCAGAGAUGACCACUGUCAACCUGCAGCUGUAGUGACAGUGGUGUCACUGGAGAAGUUCUGUUUGCAAGGGCUGGCUCUAUUGAGUGCAGGCUUUUCCUGGAGGCCCCUGGCACCAGCGUUCUCUGGACCUGGUGGAAGGGAGGUUUUCCGUUCUUGCUGAGGCCCGGUCCCACCAGCCUGACGGAAGAUCCUGGCUCUUCCUUAGUUGGUUCCCUGAAGGUUCUGGGAAAUUGUACUUGUUCCCGUUCUCUGGCCUCCGUGCUGCAGUCUCUCGAGCUGUGUCUGUUGGUUUUCUGUUGAAAACCUUCUUCUUGCUUACAGCUGGCAACCUUCACAUUCACAACACUCACACACAUACAAAAUUUCUUCAUUUAUUAACAUGAAUUCAUUUCAAACUUGUUUUAUUCACAGAUAUCGGUAACACCACAAAAUAUGGACAUUUGUCAUUUCUUUGGCUGCUCAGCAAGCAACACCCCCAUCCUACUUUUGGGAAGUCCCUCCUUGUGUGCAGACCACUCAUUUCUCACAGUGGAAAUCGAAGGGGGACAUGUCUCUUUCUCCCAGCCCAAAGGCCAUUAGGGAGCUGGCCUGCGAUCUUGGUUCAGCCAAUCAGACAUUAUCAUCUCACAGGGUGAACCUCGAAGGGGCCUUACUGGGUGUCAGGAGCAGUUUGCGCAGUAUUUAUGGUGGAAGCAGAGACUUUGAGAUCUGGCACUUCACCGUGUUGGUUUUGAAUAUCGCCUGGUUGCAGUGGCCUGUGGCAGCAGAGACUCUGGCCUGCCAGGAUAGGUAUGAGCAGUAACCUGGAUCAUUCCUGCCGGCCAUCCUGGGUUCUGGACAUGUCUUGGAGCCUGGUUCUCCAGCCUCCUGUUGAUUCUGUGAGCUAUAUGAUAUUCUUCAAAAAUAUUCAUUUUUCUCUUAGCAUUAGCCAGACUGCUCAUAGUAAAGAACCAUUUUUUAUACCAUUUGAUUUUUGUCUUAAAGAUUCAAAUGCUACUUAGUAACUCACAGCAUACUAAUUUGAAUUUCCAUGGUAAUUUGUGACCUCUGCUUCCCCAGGCCACAUAAGUGGAGAAGAAAGGGAGAGGAACGGAGGAGACAAGAAUAGAAUCGCAGCAGUCUUCCCUAGCUGCACCCUUAGCUGCAAUAGUAGGGAACUCCAGUCCCUCCUUCCAAGAACCUCCACAACAUUUCUGGGCUUCUAGCUGCCUGGCACUUAGCCCUGCAUCUCCUCCUUUGCCCAACCUAGAGGUUUCUGGGGGCUCUUGUAAGUCUUUCUUCUUCUAUCCCCAUCUGUCUGUGAGCUGCCUGAUUUGCUCCAAUCAUAUUCACUAAUCCACUAUUCGGGCUGGUUCUUCUCUUUCAAGAGACCUGGCUAUUUCAGCUAUUGUUCUGGGCCAUAAUCUGGACCUCAGAAACGGCCAAGCACUCAGUGGUGACCACAUGGGCAAAUGUCACAAUCCUUUUCUGAAGCCUGUCUGCCUAUGUCUUUGCUUCUCUGUCACUCCAGUUCUGUCUAUCUUCAGGGAGAAUGAUUUUCAAGUGUCAUGAUCUUAUCUCAAGUCACAUCCAAUAUGAUCUGGCAAAGUGCAGGAGAGAGAGAAGACUGAGAGUGGAGGUGAUCUGGAACUACGUCUGUCUACUGUGCUGGAGCAAAAGCUGAGUGGACAGACCCACGCAAGCAUUGGGAGGAAAGCCAGUCCAGCAGAUAGAACACAACACUAAGAGGAGGUGUUGUGGAAAAUGGGCCCAGAAAGGUCCUGUCUCAGGCCAGAGUGGGAGGCAAGAAUGUGGUUUUUUCCAAGCUCGUAGGUCUUACAAGAUCUCUAGGAACCCAGAAGCCAGCAAAGAACAGGAGUCCAGGUGGACAGACAGACAAUUAGUGUUUAGACACUCAGCAAAAGUUUGCGGCCAAGAGUGUAGAAAUGAAUGACUUCAGAUUGGGAGUGGGAGGCGUGGCAAGGAACUAUGACGAACAGAAUUUUUCUCAAACCAUCUCUGUAUUCUAGAUAGUCCAAGCCAAAAUAGCCCAUGGCUAGGAAAGUUUGGGAAUUAUGGAAUUCUAAAUCCCUCUUUUGGAGAUUUAUGAUUCACAUUACUAUUUUAAAGUUUGGGUCCUAUAAUUAGAAACAAAACAAAAUCUGUUUAGCAGGCGAAUAAACGACAUUAUUUAGGCAGAAGACAUUUUCUUUUUUUAAGUUACUUUUUUCAACUUCAUAAGCAUUUGAAGUGGCAGCCAGCUAAGUCAUAAAAUUGUUUUUUAAAAAAUAUGAUUAUCUUGUAAUUCUAAAACAGUAUAUAUAAUACAUACAAGGGACUUUAAAAUAGGAGUAAAAUCCAUUAUGAAAUGGAGUAUUGCCAAUCCUUUUGAAGUCCGCUUGUGGGCCCCUCCUGGUUCACAUUCCUUCCUUUACUCCGGAUGUAACUCCAACUUGAAUUUUAUCUUUUUUGUAUGUAUUCCUAAAUAAUAUAUUGUUUAGUUUCACCUGUUUUAACACUGUAGCAAUUUUGAAUCAUUCUCUCUGUAAUCUUGGAAUUUUUUUUUUUCCAUGAAGCGUUAUAUUGGUGAGAUUCACCUAUGUUGAUGCAUUCUAUAAUUAAUUCAUUUUAAUAUUUAAUAUUCCAUUGUAUGACUAUAUCAUAAGCUAUUUAUGCAUUUUCCUGUUGAACAUUUGGGGAUAUUUCCUUUUUUUUUUUUUGUUAUUACAAACCAUGCUGUUGUGAA